AUCCAGCUAAUGAGUUCAAAAUAUAACGAGACGCGCGUCCUGGAU
rnacentral:hammerhead_ribozyme from 1 species